GGGUCGCCUCAUUUGUAGCUCGCUACUCCACAAAGUUCAUCUGGACGUCAUUAGCAGUUUUACCUCAUUCUCUAUAUUUUUUACUUUCUUUUAAUCUGGCAGGCUGUACUCACGUUAGAGCUAUAUAAAAUACCGUUUUUAAUACCAAAAAAAAAAACUUCAUUACAAUUUAGGAUUCUGUGUUACUCUCUAUACUUUGAAAUUACCAGGUUUGCUUCAAUUUAAUCUUACCUUAGGCUUAGCCCCAUGAGGUAACUUGUCUUUUGAAGUGAAUUGUAGUCAAAUCCCAUGGCUGCGUACGCUCUUUUGCUGAUUCACACUAAUAGUUAAAAAACAAGCUACAAAAAGGUACAGACAUAGUCCCAUCA
rnacentral:lncRNA from 1 species